GCCUGCCUAGCUCAAUCGGAUAGAGCGUCAGACUCUUACGUCUCGCAUGUCCGUGGUUUGUGCUUGUCGGGUAAUCUGAAGGCUGCGAGUUCGACCCUCGCGGUGGGCU